GGGGCUGACUGGUUUUGACAGCAAGCCGAAAUGGUAAGUAAGCAUGUCGUGAAAUGUUGUGUACUCACGUAAAUCAGACACUUCAACUUUUUAACUGGCAACAACAAUUACGCUUUAGCGGCCUAAUUAGACUGAAUCACAGUAAGUCUUGGCGAUAUCCCUGCAAGGCAGGGACGUUAAAUGUCCUGCAGAGGCCCGAUCACCGUGGCGUCUGAGUUCAGGGCACAGAAAUACGGAGAUAGAGGAAUUGGUGUUUUGACUUUUCCUCGAAAUUAAUUAAAACUAAGGUGUAGUCAGGGAGUUUCAACCCAAUCUGCACACGAAAAUGAAAGAUGAAACUAAGCAUGUAGAAAUCUUAUGAUUUCCUUGUUUGGACGCGGGUCCGAAUCCCGCCAGCUCCACUA
rnacentral:tmRNA from 1 species